rnacentral:lncRNA from 1 species
AAUAAUAAAACAGGAUUUUAUUUUUCAAAUUGCACAAAAGAUUUGUACACACACAAGCUAACUGAACAUCAACAAUACAAUAUAUAUAUAUAUAUAGAAUAACAAUAACAAGUGGAGUAUCUAACUGACAGAUGAUAUUUCUAACCUCCUAUUCACUACCUAGUAAUACAAUGGGAACAUUUAACAUUUCAAACGUAUACUGUAAAACUCAGAAACUUAUGCAAUGUUUAUUUUAAUGCCCGAAUUGUGACUGAGAGAGCAUUAUAAUAAUAAGGAUUCCCAUUUUGAUAUCCGAUUCAUAUGCAUUUAAGCAGCUUUUUCAGAAACUAAUAAAUAAUUGCACAUUUUAUUUUUUUGAGAGUUCUUGAAUAAUUGCAAUUGCUCCUCUAGACUGAACAGAAAAAUACAAUGUUUGUAUGUUUUGAACUUUAUCACAAGAUAGAUUGAUUGCUGCUUACCUAACAUCCAGUGGCAAAUAUUACAAUUUAAUUUUAGAAAUUAGUAUCAAGUUUUUAGGUUCUAACAUUAUUUUUUUUAUGUUUAUUCAAAAGGUGUCUUUAACAGACUGGAACUAUUUCAAUUCAGACUCCAGCUAUAAGUUACUUUAUUCAAUUAGUCCAGAAAAGCUGCCUGUCAUCAAACACGGAGUUGGGUGAAAAAUAAGAUUGAUUAAAUAAAAUUCAUAAUUUUGAACAUAGUUUCCCCAUAAAAUAAAAAAAAAAUUAGUUAAAAUCUAAAUACCAGUAAGUAAAAUGGACCUUAUUUUAAAUAUUCAAACAGUUCAUAAUAUCCACAAGAAGCUCUACGAGUUCUUAUCUCGCACCAGUUUCCAUUCCAUACUAAUUUUAAAAUAAGAAUUAUACCCCAGCUAAUGAUCUAAAUAUACUUAAGAUGUAAGGAUUUCAUGCCCAAAUUUUCAUAUGAAAAAAUUUCAAAAAAGGGUUUUACAGUAAAAUAUGGAAAAGAAAAAUAUCAAAAAAGGGUUUUACAGUAAAAUAUGGAAAAGAGUCAACCACUCUUCUCAUGAAGUAAAGAAUACUUAACAUUACGAAAAUUUAAAGAUUUCUAUUGGUCUUUUAGCAUCACAACAUAAAGCAUUAAACAUUUAGACCAAAAGGGAUAAUUCUCAAGCAUCACUAUGUUAAUCCCCACAAGAUUGAGGUAACCUAAAGAAAACUCUAACAAGAAUAUAUUCCUAGUACACGGAUCGCCCAUCCGCACUAUCAUUUUCUAUGUUCAGUGGACCGUGAAAAUGGAGUAAAAACUCUUAUUUGGCAUUAAAAUUAGAAAGAUCAUAUUAUAGGGAAAAUGUAAACCGAGGUCAAGUUGAUUGGACUUCAACUUCAUCAAGAACUACCUUGACCAAAAACUUUAACCAGAAGCAGGACAGACGGACAAAUGGACAAAAGAACAAACGGACGAACAGACCAGAAAACAUUAUGCCCAUAAAUGGGGCAUGAAAAUAGGAAAUUUGUAAAUAUCUAAAGCUAAGACAUUUGAUUAUCUAAUCUUCGAAUUACAUGUGCUUUAACAUUACACAAAGAAUCCUAUCCUAAUUACAUCUAAAAAUAAACUCCUGUAUGAAGGUUACCUCCCUUUUAUGUUUUUAAUUACACAUGCUAUAAACACCUGAACAUUGAAGCUAAUACUGAAGCUUUUAUAAUUAACAUUGAAUUACAAAAUCUUUAACUUGAGUUUUUUUUCUCCAUAAUUUUCUUUUUGGCAAUUUAGUAGUGAGUUGAAUAGCAUUAAUUACUAUUUCAAUGCAUCAGAUUCAUAUUUUGACAUGUAAGAAGCAAAAUUAUUUUUAUAUCUAAUACCAUCUUAAAAACUGUUGAGAGCUGAGAAACAGAAAAUAAACCUAGAGUGGGGCGCUCAUAUUCGCCAUGGACACAAUUUCGCCGUUUUAUGAUUUUGAGGUGUAAAAACUUCAAAGGAUGGUUGAAAUGGAAUAAGUAUGCCGUUAAAUUAUAUUUUUAUAACAAAUAUGAUUAAUUUAAAAAAUGAGACUAAAUUUCAGCACUUACGGCAAAGGACCGAAAAAUGGACAACGAUUUUCACACAAUUUCCUGAAUGACAAAAACGAUUUCAAAGAAGCAUUCCUUAGUAAUUCUUUGACUGAUUGCCCUAAAUUUCAGUUUUUUACACCUUUCAAAUGUCUGCUAUUCGUCUAUAAUGAAAUUUAUUUGAUAAAUAUUGUUUAAAGCUGCAGUUAUUUGGUUUUAAAUAGAUAUGUAAAAACGGCGAAUAUGUGUCCCCCCUUGACAAAAAAUUAGGAAAUUUCAAACACCCUUUAAUCCAACUUUUCAGAUGAUUUUACUCAAAACAAACACGUUUUCAAGCUAAGAAUAUUUUGCAUUUGAAGUUAUCUUCAUAUAGAAAUAUCAGUAUACUUCAAAAACAUAAAGACCUGAACAUAAACUGAAGAAAACAUUGAAAGAUAUGGCGAAAAUGAGCACCCCACUCUA